GCGCCUGUAGUUCAAUGGAUAGAAUGGAAGUCUCCGAAGCUUCUGAUACAGGUUCGAUUCCUGUCGGGCGCGCCA
rnacentral:tRNA from 2 species